AACGCACAUUGCGCCCCUUGGUAUUCCGAGGGGCAUGCCUGUUCGAGCGUCAUUACAACCCUCAAGCUACGCUUGGUGUUGGGCCUUCGCCUCCCCCUGCGGGGGAAGGCGGGCCUCGAAGGCUUCGGCGGCGUCGCUCCGCUCCGAGCGUGACGGACUCACGGCUUGCUGGAGCGGGCGCGCCCGCCCUUUGCGUUCUCGCAUCUUUAUUUCAAGGUUGACCUCGGAUCAGGCGGGGAUACCCGCUGAACUUAA
rnacentral:misc_RNA from 1 species